CCUUCUCGAAACGAAGCUCUCUCGAUUCACAACGCUUGCUUUUCUCUCUCGCUCUUUCCGACCCCCAUCAUUUCCUUGCUUCUGGUCUUCUGAGACUCAGAAACCGUAAAUCCCACUCCCCGCUCAAUCGACCAUUUUUGGGUCUCAUUUUUUUCCUUCUUUUGCUUAUUGGAUCGUUUCUAGGACCUCGCCGUGCAGGAAUCGCGGGUUCGGGCGGCGCCUCCUUCCCCCAAUUACCUCUUGAUUGACCAAGAUGGCAGCAGCAAGAACUCCUGGUACCCCAGCUUCAAAGAUCGAAAGAACACCAGUAUCUACACCUGGAGGCUCCAGAGUCAAAGAUGAGAAAAUUUUUGUCACAGUAAGGAUGAGGCCACUGAGCAAGAAAGAACAAGCACUGAAAGAUGAAAUAGUGUGGGAAUGUAUUGAUGACCACACUAUCAUGUUCAAGGGCUCAACUCAGGAGCGUUCGAAUUUAUCAGGCUCCUAUACGUUUGACAAAGUAUUUGGACCUAAUUGUUUAACGGAGAUUGUCUAUGAAGAAGGAGCUAAAAAUGUGGCAUUAUCAGCAUUGACAGGAAUAAAUGCUACCAUCUUCGCUUAUGGGCAGACCAGCAGUGGCAAAACAUAUACUAUGCGGGGGAUCACUGAGAGAGCUGUAAAUGAUAUUUACAAGCACAUAGAAAAUACGCCAGAUAGGGACUUUGUGAUAAAGAUUUCUGGUAUGGAAAUAUACAACGAGGUAGUGAGGGACCUGUUAAAAACAGAUUCUGGUCCUCUUCGGUUACUUGAUGACCCUGAGAAAGGAACUAUUGUUGAGAAACUGGAAGAAGAAACAGUAAAAGAUAGCCAGCAUCUGAGACAUCUGAUCAGCAUUUGUGAUGCACAAAGGCAAGUUGGUGAAACUGCCUUGAAUGACACCAGCUCCAGAUCUCACCAAAUAAUAAGGCUGACGAUAGAGAGUAGCCUACGUGAACAUUCAGGCUGUGUGAAGUCUUUUUUAGCAAGCCUGAACCUUGUGGACCUUGCAGGAAGUGAGAGGGUUUCACAAACAAAUGCAAAUGGUGUCAGACUGAUAGAAGGUUCCCAUAUAAAUCGGAGCUUGUUGACUCUCACAACAGUAAUUAGAAAACUCAGUGUUGGGAAAAGAAGCGGCCAUAUACCCUACAGGGAUUCAAAGCUAACACGUAUACUCCAGCUUUCUCUGGGCGGAAAUGCAAGAACUGCUAUUAUAUGCACCAUGAGUCCAGCACACAGCCAUGUAGAGCAAUCUCGGAAUACCCUACAUUUUGCAACUUGUGCCAAGGAAGUUACAAAUACUGCUCGUGUUAACAUGGUUGUGUCAGACAAACAGAUGGUCAAACAUCUGCAGGAUGUAGUUGCCAGACUUGAAGCUGAGAGACGCACCCCUGAACCUUCUUCUUGUUCUGAAUCCCUUCUGAAGGAGAAGGAGUUGAAAAUUAAGGAGAUGGAAAUGGAAAUGGAAGAACUGAAACGGCAAAGAGAUUUUGCGCAGUCACAACUGGAUGAACUGCGAAGUAAAAGUUCAAGUCCAUUUGAGCCAUCACCUCGCCAAGUGGCUAAAUGUCUCACCUUUUCUGGCCCAUCACUACAUUAUGGUGACAAGGGACAUGGUAAGGCUGAGAAGAUGAGAAACCCAAUGAGGCAGUCAUCAACUGUUCCAUCCAUGCUUGUGCAUGAAAUUCGCAAGCUCGAACAAUUACAGGAGCAGCUUGGAGAGGAAGCACACCGAGCUCUUGAAGUGCUGCAGAAAGAGGUGACUUGCCACAGACUGGGGAAUCAGGAUGCUGCUGAGACUAUUGCCAAGCUUCAAGCAGAGAUCAGGGAGAUGCGUGCAGUUAGAUCUCUGACUAAAGAGGUUAACAUUGAAGAUGUGGUCACUAGCCAAAAUGCUGGUGCCAAUCUUAAAGAAGAGAUAACGCGACUUCAUUCGCAAGGAAGUACCAUUGCCAAUCUGGAGGAGCAGCUAGAAAAUGUCCAGAAAUCUAUAGAUAGGCUAGUGAUGUCUCUUCCGAAUAAUGUGCAGUCUAAUGAAACCACUCCAAAGUCCUCAAAGAGUCAGCCAAAGAAGAAGAAGAAGAUGCUUCCUUUGGCAUUAAGCAGCAACAUCAACCGACCACAUCUUCUAAGAGCACCUUGCUCACCUCUCUCUUCUUCCCGGAAGAUAUUAGAGUCCGAAAUAGAGAACAAGGCUCCAGAGAAUGAUGCAGUAUCCCAAGAGACCUUUUCAGGUUCUGAGAAAGCUACUCCAACCAAGAGCGAAGAUGGUGGUGACAUAACAUCCAGAGAAGGAACACCACGCUACCAACGCUCCAGUUCUGUGAACAUGAAAAAAAUGCAGAAAAUGUUCCAAAAUGCUGCAGAGGAAAAUGUAAGGAGCAUAAGAGCAUAUGUCACUGAGCUGAAAGAACGUGUCGCGAAGCUUCAGUACCAAAAGCAGCUUCUUGUGUGCCAGGUAUUGGAAUUAGAAGCAAAUGAGGCUGCAGGGCAUGAUGUAUCAGAGGCUGAAGAGCAUAUAUCAGAAAUGCAAAAUUCCACUGAUGCAUGGGAUUCUGUCUUCAAGGAACAAAUGCAGCAGAUUAUUCAACUAUGGGAUGUUUGUCAUGUAUCAAUAAUACAUCGGUCACAGUUCUACUUGUUAUUCAGAGGUGAUCAGGCAGAUCAGAUAUAUAUUGAGGUAGAGCUUAGGAGAUUGACUUGGCUGCAGCAGCAUUUUGCUGAAGUUGGCAAUGCAAGCCCUGCUCAUUUCGGAGAUGAGACUGCAAUUUCUUUAUCAUCAAGGUAUAAGAAAUUUGAGUUACUUUCACAUUAUUCUAAGUCAAGGUAUGCCAUAUCCCACUGAACCAAGAAGUGUAAGACAUACUGUAUCAUAUCGGCUUGGUACUGGUACAUGAUACAAGGGGUGUAUCAACAUAUGGUGUGCCAAACUGGCCCUGUAUUGGGCAUACCGAUAUAGUGACGGGGUGGCACCGUGUUAAAGCAUUGAGGCAGGAAAGAGAAUUUCUUUCCAGAAGAGUUAACUCACGUUUGACGGAGGAGGAAAGAGAGCGGCUCUACAUCAAAUGGCAAGUUCCCCUUGAAGGGAAGCAAAGGAAGCUUCAGCUGGUGAACAAGCUUUGGACUGAUCCAAAUGAUCCAGCACACAUCGAGGAAAGUGCUGAUAUAGUGGCUAGACUUGUAGGCUUCUGUGAGGGAGGAAACAUCACCAAAGAGAUGUUUGAGCUGAAUUUUUCACUGCCCGCAAGCAAGAAACCAUGGUUCUUGGGAUGGCAGCCCAUAUCAAAUUUGUUAAGACUCUGAUGCUGUGAGUUACUAGAAAUAAAAGAACUGAAAUUUU